rnacentral:lncRNA from 1 species
UGAGCUGGUUCACUACAGUUUCCUAGGGUGCCUGAGAGCACAGUUUGGGAACCAUGGCACUAAGGGUCAAGUCCCAAUGUUAACUGUCUCAUUGUUUUUCUGGUUUGAUAGUAGCAUCGUGCCACCUGCCUCAGGCCUAAGGGCAUUUGAGGUUGCGGAGAGAAGAUCAGAUCAAAAGUUACAAAACGUACCUGGCAAUUAAGCUGUGGUCAUGUGAAAUCCUCCAAGCCUCUGAGAUAGGGGUGAAGCUUAUGGCUCUCCAGGAUUGCUGAUGUCUGUGAGCCAAAGAAGGAAGAACACCCUGAGGCAGGGGCUGACCGAUCUGCCCACAGCUGAUGGGCUGGGAACUUGCCGGUGGAUCCUUCCCCUCUCCAAAUGGUGAAUUGUAAAUAUAAGCACAAAGAGGAAGCAGCAAUGAGCAUUUCCUCUGUCGCUCAUCUUCAAUAAAACCACAGACUCCUUUUGCAGCUCCUUUCUGCUCUUCUCCCUGGCUGGCUGAGGGAUCACUGUGCAUCUGUCACUGUACUUACUAGAAUUUGCCCCUUCUCCUAUAAUAAAGGAUGAGUAUUCUCAGCCCCUUCUCCACCUCCUUCUAUGAAAGUGGUGUUUCCGACAGAUAAGAAUCUGCAAGCCUGAAAGGUGGGUCUCCAAGCUGCAGGUGGAGCCAUGAUCUCCCUCCUGUUGGGAUACUUGAAAAACCAUGUUUAUCCCGGAAGUCCCUGUGGCUCCAGGAUCUCCUGUCUGGACCAGAUCCUUGCAGCAGCGUUUCUCCUCAGGCAAAUCUUGGAGACAAUUUGCCCAGACUCAACACCAGUUCGUGCAAGCAGCUGGGAGGGAGGCUGUACCCUGCAAAACCACAGGGGUGGAGCUGUCCAAGACCAUGGGAACCCGUCUCUUACAUCACCAUAACCUGCAUAUGAGACAUAGAGUCAAAGGAGAACAUUUGGGAACUUUGAGAUUUGACUGCCCUGCUGGAUUUUGAACUUGCAUGGGGCCUAUAGCCUCUUUGGGCCAAUUUCUCCCAUUUGGAAUGGCUGUGUUUACCUACUGCCUGUACCCCCACUGUAUCUAAGAAGUAACCUGCUUUUGAUUUUACAGGCUCAUAGGUGGAAGGAACUUGCCUUGUCUUGGAUGAGAUUUUGGACUGUGAACUUUUGAGUUAAUGCUGAAAUGAGUUAAGACUUUGGGGGACUUUUGGGAAGGCAUGAUUUGUUUUGAAGUGCAAGAACAUGAGACUUGGGAGGGGUUGGGGUGGAAUGAUGUGGUUUGGCUGUGUCCCCAUCCAAAUCUCAUCUUGAAUUCCCACCUGUUGUGGGAGGGACCUGAUGGAAGGUAAUUGAAUCAUGGGGGCAAGUCUUUCUUGUGCUGUUCUAAUUAUGGGGAAUAAGUCUUAUGAGAUCUGAUGGUUUUAAAAAGAGGAGCGCCCCUGCACAAACUCUCUCUCCUUGCCUGCUGCCAUCCAUGUAAGAUGUGACUUGCUCCUCCUUGACUUCCACCAGGCUUGUGAGGCUUCCCAGCUACAUGGAACUAUAAGUCCAAUUAAACCUCUUUCUUUUCUAAAUUGUCCAGUCUCAGGUAUAUCUUUAUCAGCAGCAUGAAAAUGGAC